GACGAACGCUGGCGGCGUGCCUAAUACAUGCAAGUUGAGCGCUGAAGGUUGGUACUUGUACCAACUGGAUGAGCAGCGAACGGGUGAGUAACGCGUGGGGAAUCUGCCUUUGAGCGGGGGACAACAUGUGGAAACGAAUGCUAAUACCGCAUAAAAACUUUAAACACAAGGUUUAAGUUUGAAAGAUGCAAUUGCAUCACUCAAAGAUGAUCCCGCGUUGUAUUAGCUAGUUGGUGAGGUAAAGGCUCACCAAGGCGAUGAUACAUAGCCGACCUGAGAGGGUGGUCGGCCACCCUGGGACUGAGACCCGCCCCAAACUCCUUCGGGAGGCAGCCGUACUGCAUCUUCGGCAAUGGACGAAAGUCUGACCGCGCAACGCCGAGUGAGUGAAGAAGGUUUUCGGAUCGGAAAACUCUGUUGGUGGGGAAGAACGUUGGUGAGAGUGGAAAGCUCAUCAAGUGACGGUAACUACCCAGAAAGGGACGGCUAACUACGUG
rnacentral:rRNA from 1 species